GAUGAACGCUGGCUACAGGCUUAACACAUGCAAGUCGAGGGGAAACGACGGGGAAGCUUGCUUCCCCGGGCGUCGACCGGCGCACGGGUGAGUAACGCGUAUCCAACCUGCCUCUGACUGAGGGAUAACCCGUCGAAAGUCGGCCUAAUACCUCAUGGCAUCGUCUGCGGGCAUCCAACGACGAUUAAAGAUUUCAUCGGUCAGGGAUGGGGAUGCGUCUGAUUAGCUUGUUGGCGGGGUAACGGCCCACCAAGGCUACGAUCAGUAGGGGUUCUGAGAGGAAGGUCACCCACAUUGGAACUGAGACCCGGUCCAAACUCCUACGGGAGGCAGCAGUGAGGAAUAUUGGUCAAUGGGCGGGAGCCUGAACCAGCCAAGUAGCGUGCAGGAUGACGGCCCUAUGGGUUGUAAACUGCUUUUAUGCGGGGAUAAAGUGAGGGACGUGUCCUUCAUUGCAGGUACCGAAUGAAUAAGGACCGGCUAAUUCCGUG
rnacentral:rRNA from 1 species